GGACCGGUAGCUCAGUGGUAGAGCAACCGGCUGCAGUAUAGUUACCAACUUGGUAGCUUGCUUCCGGUAGGUCUCGUGUUCAACUCACGAUCGGUCCU